rnacentral:rRNA from 1 species
GACGAACGCUGGCGGCGUGCUUAACACAUGCAAGUCGAACGGUGAAGCUCCAGCUUGCUGGAGUGGAUCAGUGGCGAACGGGUGAGUAACACGUGAGCAACCUGCCCCUGACCCUGGAAUAAGCGCUGGAAACGGCGUCUAAUACUGGAUACGAGAAGGGUCCGCAUGGGCACUUUCUGGAAAGUUUUUCGGUUGGGGAUGGGCUCGCGGCCUAUCAGCUUGUUGGUGAGGUAAUGGCUCACCAAGGCGACGACGGGUAGCCGGCCUGAGAGGGCGACCGGCCACACGGGGACUGAGACAAUGCCCAGACUCCUACGGGAGGCAGCAGUGGGGAAUAUUGCACAAUGGGCGAAAGCCUGAUGCAGGGACGCCGCGUGAGGGAUGACGGCCUUCGGGUUGUAAACCUCUUUCAGCAGGGAAGAAGCGAAAGUUAGGGUACCUGCAGGAGGAACACCGGCUAACUACGUG